rnacentral:lncRNA from 1 species
GGUGUGGCAGCAGCACUAACAUCGGGAUGGAGCUUUAGCUGUCUCCCACUCUCACUUCUGAGGGUUGGGCACGGCUCCACCUUGACAUGAAGGCUGGGCAUGUAACAUAAGCUAACAAAGCAGAGAAUUACACUCCUCUCAUUACGGAGGAUUGUUUCAGAGAAGGCACAAGACCUAGUUCAGCUAUGGAAAUCCUGGUCCAGUGGAUUUCAGAACUUUUAUAGGAAACACUGGGAAAAAGAAAUGAGGCUGCUCUGGGAGCUCACACUGGACUUAUGAGGGGAGGGAGCUUUCUUGCCCCCAUCUCACCACCCAGUGGGACCUGAGACUGAAGGUUUUACAUGGAAGACAACAGUGAGAAACUAGAGACAAUGAGAGACCUCAUUUUGGAUUUUAGUAUUCACGAUGCAGUGCAAGGCAAUAAGAAAUAGAGACUAAAGAAGCAGAAGGGAGGCCAGAAGAAGGAGCAGCAUUUAAAGCCAAGACAAGUUUUAUGUUAUAAAUCAAGCAAGAGUUUAAAAGCAGUUGAAGGUAUGGUACCAUCUGCUCUUCUUCCAGAUGUACUCAGUGAAGUAGGUUGGAGGUGCUGACGUGAUGUUGGAUCAGCUGGCUGUUGGAGGCUGUAGAAGCGGACAGAAGAAAUAAAUGAAAAGGAAAGAAGGAAGCUCAAUCCUAAACAUUGCUUUAAGGGGAAAGCAU